CUUUCCUAUGAUCUUGCCAUGGAAAAUGGAGAGGCACUGGCACAAUUUAGUUCCCAACCAGAGACUUGUACCCAUGGAUGUAACACCUGGGUGCAAAUAAAGAUGCUUGAGUAAAUAUUGAUUGAGCAGAUCAGUGCCCUGUUCCACAUUACACCUAUUUCCUGGGACACAGCACUAUCUUCUAAAUUCUCAAAAGGAGAUGUUGCAGUGUUUCUUAACUGGUUUUGGUAAAAGCAAAUUCUAUACUGUCAGAAUUUUUCAAGGAAUGAGAAGUCCAUUUUGCAGCUGUUUCUUGGUGGAAACAGUGAUCAGUGCUUUGCCACCAUUUCCUGAGCCCAAGUAGCAGGAGAGGGCCUGCUCCAUCCAGCUGCCUCUUUCAUUCUGCGGGUCCCUUGUUUACUGCUAAAUUCUUCACUUCAUUAAUGGCGCUAACUGGCUGCUCUCGUCUGCUGGCCCUCAGGUGAAAGUAGCUCUUUCAGGCUUCCAACUGCAGAGCUUCUUCCAUUUACCUCUCAAUGAGGUGUAGUUCCUGUUUUAAAUAGUACAAGUUGUUAGAGCCAAAGGCAGCAGCAGGAAGGGGAGCUUUGGAGGAUUGCAGAGGAGGGAGCUCAGGAGAGCUCCCUGGGACAGGGACCUGUGGGCACACAGGGGGCAGAGCUGCUCGAUGGCCAGAGCUUGCACACAAGGACGGAGCCAGCUUCUCCUGCCUGGCUUGCACCAAGGGGCACCCUGCUCUGCCCCGCAGCGGCCGCGGGAGCGCAGGCCUGUGCUGACACACCUGGUUAGCCUCACAGCCCGUCCUCCACGUACCCAGCUCCUGCCUUUGGAGGGCAGCGAGCCUUUGCAAGCCCUGAGAAGCACAGCAAGUUCCUGUUAGAAUUUGUCUACUGGGAAAUGAGUUCUGCACGGUCCAGUCCAGGUUCACAGAAAUAUCUGCAACCUUGGAACAGCCGCUCAGGAGCGCCGGGACCUCCCAGAGCCGCCCCGGCUUCAGAGACCGGGAAUGGCGCCGGGGGGGGUUCGGGCCGCCCACCGGGGAUGCAGCCGAGCGGUGCUACGGGGUGAGCUCAUGCGCCCCGGUCUGUCGGUGCUCGGAGCUGCGGCCGGCUGCGCUCCGCCGGGCCGGGCCGCGGGCCCGCAGCCGCUGCAGGUGGCGCCGGGCCGGGCCGGGCUGCGGGGCCGUCGGGGCCGCGCGGGGCGGGGCGGGGCGGGA
rnacentral:lncRNA from 13 species